CUACGGGAGGCAGCAGCAGGGAAUAUUGCACAAUGGGCGAAAGCCUGAUGCAGCAACGCCGCGUGCGCGGUGAAGGCCUUCGGGUCGUAAAGCGCUUUUCGGGGAGAUGAGGAAGGACAGUAUCCCCGGAAUAAGGCUCGGCUACUACGUGCCAGCAGCCGCGGUAAAACGUAGGAGCCUAGCGUUAUCCGAAUUUACUGGGCGUAAAGCGCGUGCAGGCGGUUUGGUAAGUUGGGUGUGAAAUCUCCUGGCUCAACUAGGAGAGGUCGCUCAAUACUGUCGAACUGGAGGAUGGUAGAGGGAGGUGGAAUUCCCGGUGUAGUGGUGAAAUGCGUAGAUAUCGGGAGGAAUACCAGUGGCGAAGGCGGCCUCCUGGGCCAUACCUGACGCUCAGACGCGAAAGCUAGGGGAGCGAACGGGAUUAGAAACCCCGGUAGUCCUAGCCGUAAACGAUGUGGACUUGGCGUUGGUGGGGUAAAAUCCAUCAGUGCCGGAGCUAACGCGGUAAGUCCACCGCCUGGGGACUACGGCCGCAAGGUUAAAACUCAAAGGAAUUGACGG
rnacentral:rRNA from 1 species